UGAGUUGUAGUUUAAUAUGGCAAAACGUCACUUUUUGGAUGUGAACAAUAUCAGUUCGAGUCUGGUCAACUCAG
rnacentral:tRNA from 1 species